rnacentral:tRNA from 1 species
CAUUGUGAAGCUUAAAGCGUUAACCUUUUAAGUUAAAGUUCGAGACUUCCGCGGUCUCCACAAUGG